rnacentral:lncRNA from 1 species
AGGCAAAGAAAACACAAAUGAUUCUUUGUAGGUAUGGGUCCUCUGUAACCAAUGCAAGAAAAUGAAAUUGUUGACUGGAGAAAAAUACUGCAACAUCUAUGACCAUGAGCUAUUGCUACAUAAAGAGCAUGACAGGAGACACUAUGUAAAUCUUCACUUGGAAUGGGACGUGGGAUCUCAAAAUCGACCAGUGCUAGAGACUCUAAAAUAAGCUGGAAUCAGCGAGAUGCAAAAAUCCCGGGUCUUCUCCUGCAGAAGAGAGAGGGCCUGGCAGCCGAGGUACUAUUCCCCCAUUUUCUUCCCUCCCCCCCCCCCCCCC